GCCUGGGUGGUGGAAUCGGUAGACACAAGGGACUUAAAAUCCCUCGGUUUUAAAAAGACCGUGCGAGUUCAAGUCUCGCCUCAGGCA
rnacentral:tRNA from 1 species